rnacentral:tRNA from 1 species
GGGGUUGUAGCUCAGUGGUAGGGCACUUGCCUAGGACGUUUGAGGCCCUGGGUUCAAUCCUCAGCACCA